rnacentral:lncRNA from 1 species
GGCGGCCGCCAUGUUUCCUGAACACAAAAUGGCGACACGUGGUUAGCAUUCGUCGCCAACGAGAAAUUGGGGUCGGCCCGAAAGCUCUAGAAUGCACCCCUCUUCCUCCCCGGGGCCUUCCACCUCCGCGAGUUUUAUGACUUAAAAAAGCCCACAGGCUGGUCUGAAGAGGAAGACAAACAUAAAGAUGAAGUGCUUAAUUCAAGGUCACACAAUGUCGGGGAUGGACCUCCAGAUUUCCUUACUGACCUGCAUUAUCUUGUGGAUACCUGAGUGAAUUCCACACCACCCAUUUUAUAGAUGAAACCACUGAGACAUGGAGCAAUUGACUGAGUAGUCACUGCCCCACCCCUGCCUGGAGCCUCACACAUGACUCGCCUCCUCUCAGUGACCACAGGUUGGUUGAGGGGUUUAACAAGGCUAAGAAGGUGAGACGUGGUCUUGUAACACAGUGGUUAAGAAUGUGACUUUGGAGCCAGCCUGCUAGGGGCUGAAUUCUGACUCAGCCAUUUACUAACUGUGUGACCUUAGGUCACAGAAUUUUCCACACUCCUUGACAGAGGUGCUUAACCCUUAUCCAUCAGCAUUCUCAGACAGCACCUCCGGUUAGGGACAGUAUCUGACCGUCCGACAUCCCUGCAGCCCCCAUGUGUCACACAGACUCAGCCUCAGGUAGAUGGUUUCCGUAGAUGGUGGCUUUCUUUGGACCCUUGACAUCAACCAGUUACUAUUUGCUCCUGCAACCACCGCUGUACUUUCUGUCUCUAUGAACUUGACUACUCUAGACACCUCAUGGGACCAGAUGUGCAGAGGUAAUGAAUACCAGGGAAUCAGGAAACCACUGGAUCAGUUCUUUGAGCCACAGAACAACACUCAUCCCAGCAGCUGGGAAGCUAUCUGCAAAAGUCCAUCUGCAGAAAGGGCUUCCUGGUCUUGCGUGUGGCUGGGCCAUUUCUCUGGAUGCAGGUUUUUCAUUAUACAGUCUUCUCAAAGAACCACCUGCUCUCAACACCUUCUCGGUGACUCCAUUUCCCCUCCUCU